CAUAAAUUUGGAAGGCAAAUAAAGCAUUUUUUGUAACUGUAUGCAAAACAAAUGUAAAGCAAGACUUUUAUAACCGCCCUGUUUCCACAUGAGCUUUAUUCACUACAUUGACGAAACAUACAAAAGUAAAAUUUUCUUAUUAGUUUUUUGCGUUAAAAAGCAUGUAAGCUAGAAAUGUACUUAAAUAGUAGUUACUUCCGCAUUCACGGCGUUGUUGCUAUGGGAACCUUAGUGUAGACCAUUGGAGUUGUACCUACUGACCGCUGUUGUUUAUCUUAAAAACAUAAUCCAGAAAUCAACUUUCCGUCAUCGUUAUCGACUCUCAACGAAUUAUGCCGCCCAAAAAGGAUGCCAAAAAGAAAAAGGCGGAGGUGAAGCCCCCUACGCUAAUAAAUGGCCUCACCAAGGAGGAGAUAACGAGGGAACAGAUAGAAGAGCAUGUUGUGCGACUUCGUGAGAUGCUGGACAGAGAGAGGGAGGAGAGGAACUACUUCCAGCUGGAGAGAGACAAGAUUCAGUCCUUUCGGGAAGUUACUGACAGAAAACUUGCGGAGGUUAAGGCUGAACUUAAAAUCCUGGAGAAGGCCAUAGAAGAUGAUGAGGCACAUCACCUAGUGGGGAUUAAGGUCUUUAAGCAGAAGAUGAAGCACCUCUUGUGUGAACACCAUAACACAGUCACCGAGCUGGAAGCAGAUAUUGCAACCUCGACCGAUCUGCUGGAAGAUGAGCAGAGUCAACUGGAGGCAGAUCUGUAUAAGGAAAUGAUGGGCAUCCUGGUUGAGAUGCAGGAGUCCAGCUGUGAAGACGUUUUCAAAGAGCUUCUGCUGAAACACGAAGAAGAAAUGACUGCAGCUAAAGAGAAGUGGGAGACACGUCUGAGAGAAACUGCGGUCAGAAAUAAGACAGAGAUACAACAGCUGGAGAAGGAACACGACAACAUAAUGAAAAGUGUGACAUGCGAACGAGAGCUGCUCUGGAAAAGCCACUUUGGCAAUCUUAACGAAGACAUUGACAGAUGCUUAAACGACGCAAAAGAUCUUAUUAGCAUGCUGAGCAAAGAAACAGGAAAAGAGAUCGCAGCUCUUAAGGAGUGCAGAGAUAGAAAGGACUUGGAGCUGAAGAAGAUGAAAGAGGAAUUUUAUGCUCUUUUGAACGAAAAUAAAGAAUUUGCAAAGCGUGUUGCAAAAACAGAGAAUGAAUAUAGACGUCUUGAAAGGAGAUCAAAAUCCUUCUCACAGUCAGAGGGUAAUUUAAUAAAUCCCCAAAAAGAGAUCCUGAAAGACAAGAAGACGGAGUUUGAAGACUUGCAAGAGCAAUUCGAGAAGCUUCAGAUUGAGAUGGAGGAACUGCAAUCGUCUGUUCCUAAGAAAAUUAAUGUUGCGCAGAAACAAGCAGAUCUGUCUCUCAGGCCUCUGGAGGAUGAGCUGACGGCUAUGAACGUCCAUGUGGAGAAGAUCCAGGCUCAGCUCCACGCCUUGUUCUCAGCCCCUAACCUGGACCAAACCGCUGUCACUGAAAUCACUGACAAAGUCGAGAAAGAAAUGGAGAUCAGAAAUUCUGCUAUCAAGAACCUGAAGCAUAAAAAAUAUCUGAUAUCAACGGCUCACACUGCCGCGCUGGAGAGGGCGGAGGGCCUCAUCGCGAUGUAAAGAAGAUCUUGAAGAGCCCUUGAUUUCCCACACAAGUUGCUAGAUUAUAUCUGAUCAUCAAACAAAUUCAAAUAUCAGACUCAUCCUGGAGGUCAGAAAGAACCCAGAGCAACAUCUAAUUAAUCUCAGCUAAGGUCAGUGGUCAUAAUUCAACAAUAAAAAAGAGACUGGACGUAAAUGGCAUCCAUGGCAGAGCUGCAGGGUGGAAACAAACUGGUGCUGGUUCACAUUUACCAAACAGACACCUUUAUGAUCAACAAGACUUUUACAAAAAGUAUUCUGUGAAUUUGUUAGAUAAAAGUGGAACAUUUUGGAAAAGGU